rnacentral:lncRNA from 1 species
GCCAGGCUGGUCUCAACUGAUCCACCUGCCUCAGCCUCCCACAGUGUUGGGAUUAUAGGCGUAAGCUGCCGUACCCGGCCCACAGGGUUCAAUUAGAUAAACAAUAUGAGUGCAAGAACUUUUGUGUAGGAAGGAAUGUCCUCAGCCUACUCCUCAGCUUCAGCUUCACAACUACCCUCUUCAGGUUCAAUUACCAGAAGCUAACUUCCUACAAGAGAAAAAGGGCAGGCCCUUCUAUGACAGCACGGAAAGACCUCAAGCCACGUUUCUCCCACCAGUAACAUCUUGCAAAGCUACAAUAUCACAGCAAGGAAAAAACCCGCCACACUGCUGUUUAUACCUAAAUCAACGUACCCAACUGGCAGACAGCACGAGGCAGGUGCCACUGCUUUCUUCUCACCCCAGGGCUCCACUUGGAACUCUCCUCACCAGGAUGACAACUCUGCCCUGGGCCUCUGCUAACAUCCCUGUGGCCCUUUGCGUCAGAGCCUCACCUGAGGCUUUACCAGACAUCCUCAGUUCUCCUCAAAACAGACAGCUGCAGCCCCAGUUAAAGAAAGCACUGAGGGCUCUCUCCCAAAUGUGAGCCACAGACAUGUCAACGGGACAGGGCAAGUGGGUCCCAGGGCUCCAGGCAGCGGUGCAUGCACAUGUGGGGAGGAGCGCCAGCUCGCUCCAGAACAGGUUUCCUCACUGCUUAUUGUCCUGUAAAGGCUUUGGCAGCCUAGUAAAGCCUAUGGGCCUCUCUCAGAAUAACUUUUUUUUUUUUUUUUAUGAGAUGGAGUCUCGCUCUGUCGCCCAGGCUAGAAUGCAGUGGUGCAAUCUUGGCUCACUGCAAUCUCUGCCUCCCAGGUUCAAGUGAUUCUCCUACCUCAGCCUCCCAAGUAGUUGGGACUACAGACGCCUGCCACCACGCCUGCUUAAUUUUUUUGUAUUUUCAGUAGAGGUGGGGUUUGACCAUGUUAGCCAGGAUGGUCUCAAUCUCCUGACCUCAUAAUCCACCCGCCUCAGCCUCCCAAAGUGCUGGGUUUACAGGCGUGAGCCACCACACCCGGCCCAGGAUAACAUUUUAAAAUGUGUAAUAUAAAAUACAGGUGGCAGAAAUGUAAAAUACCAAAAAAAAAAAAAAAUGUUUUUUUGAGACGGGGCUUGCUCUGUCACCCAGGCUGGAGCACAGCGGUAUGAUCACAGUUCCCCGCAGCCUUGACUGCAUCCUCCUACCUCAGCUUCCCAAGUGGCUGGGACUCUAGGCACACGCCACUACGUCCAGCUAAUUUUUUAAUUUUUCUUUUGUAGAGAUGGGCGUCUCACUAUGUUGACCAGGUUGGCUUCCAACUUUUGGUUUUAAGUAAUUCUCCCACCUCAGCCUCCCAAAGUGCUGAGCCAAAAUAUUUUUAAAAACAAAUGUAUUCCGUAGUAAUAUGUAACAUUUAAUGCAGUGAUGAAUAAACCACAUCUCAAAGUGUCUGCAGUUACAGUGUGAGACGGAAAGUCUGUUUUUUUAUUCUCUUAGUGGCAAACUCCUGGGUCCUGAUGAACCCACAGGCUCAUUGCCACAUUCGUAAUGGAAAGAAAUGCUAAAUUCCAGGUACAGCUUAGUGAAAAUGAAGAUGCCAUUUUUUUCCUAUCCAAGCUCAUGGAGCCCUGAAUUUCACAGACCCAGGAAGUACAGGGCCAGUCCUCUUCCCUAAGAGACUCCUGCAGGCUGUCCCUUGGCCUCGGUUCUAAGGGAAGGAAGCCGCCCGCAUACAGCCAGGGGCAGGGCAGAGGCACAGGUGGGGUCCCAGGACCCUGGCAAGGGCCUUGUAGCAAGGGACAGUUGGCAGAGAGCCUGUUGUGGGCUGCUGAGAAGGCAUGCAGAUGGGUUGCAGAUCGGCCGCCCCUGGGGCCUGACCCCACCAGGAACGGGCCAGGGCAGAACUCAACCAAGGGAAAUUCCCCUUAAAACCUCAAUGCACCACCACCUGCCCCAGUUCAUCUGGGAGAAACUUCAGCCACUUCUUUUUGAUCCCAAGUUUUCUGCUUUAAACCUCAGGGGUAGGUAAUGGAAAAAAAAAUACAAAAAACAAAAAAACAGAUUAGUGCUAAGAAGCUAAGG